rnacentral:rRNA from 1 species
GCUUAUCACCAUUCCAGAUUGAAUAUAUCCGAUCUCGUCUGGUCUCGGAAGUCAAGCAAUCUCGGGCGUAAUUAGUACUUGGAUGGGUGACCGUUUGGAAA